CGCUGGCGGCGUGCCUAACACAUGCAAGUCGAGCGAUGAAGCCCUUCGGGGUGAAUUAGCGGCGGACGGGUGAGUAACACGUGGGUAACCUGCCUUAUAGAGGGGGAUAGCCUUCCGAAAGGAAGAUUAAUACCGCAUGAAAUGUUUUUAUCACAUGGUAGAAACAUCAAAGGAGUAAUCCGCUAUAAGAUGGACCCGCGGCGCAUUAGCUAGUUGGUGAGGUAACGGCCCACCAAGGCGACGAUGCGUAGCCGACCUGAGAGGGUGAUCGGCCACAUUGGAACUGAGACACGGUCCAGACUCCUACGGGAGGCAGCAGUGGGGAAUAUUGCGCAAUGGGGGAAACCCUGACGCAGCAACGCCGCGUGAAUGAAGAAGGCCUUAGGGUUGUAAAGUUCUGUUUUCUGGGACGAUAAUGACGGUACCAGAGGAGGAAGCCACGGCUAACUACGUGCCAGCCGCCGC
rnacentral:rRNA from 1 species